AUGUCACACCGGUUCACGUUCGAUCAUCGAAGUUAAGCAACGUCAACCCUGGUGAGUACCUACAUGGGUGACCGCUUGGGAAUACCAAGGUGAUGU